rnacentral:rRNA from 1 species
UGCCCGGUAGCUAAAUGCGGAAGAGAUAAGUGCUGAAAGCAUCUAAGCACGAAACUUGCCCCGAGAUGAGUUCUCCCUGACCCUUUAAGGGUCCUGAAGGAACGUUGAAGACGACGACGUUGAUAGGCCGGGUGUGUAAGCGCAGCGAUGCGUUGAGCUAACCGGUACUAAUGAACCGUGAGGCUUAACCUUACAACGCCGAAG